GAUGAACGCUAGCGGGAGGCUUAACACAUGCAAGUCGAGGGGCAGCAUAGAGUAGCAAUACUUUGAUGGCGACCGGCGCACGGGUGAGUAACGCGUAUGUAACCUACCCUGUACAGGGGGAUAGCCCGGAGAAAUUCGGAUUAAUACCCCAUAAUGAUAUCGAGAGGCAUCUUUUGAUAUUUAAAGCUUCGGCGGUACGGGAUGGGCAUGCGUGACAUUAGCUAGUUGGUAAGGUAACGGCUUACCAAGGCUGCGAUGUCUAGGGGUCCUGAGAGGGUGAUCCCCCACACUGGUACUGAGACACGGACCAGACUCCUACGGGAGGCAGCAGUGAGGAAUAUUGGUCAAUGGGCGUAAGCCUGAACCAGCCAUCCCGCGUGAAGGAAGAAGGCGCUAUGCGUCGUAAACUUCUUUUCCAGAGGAAUAAAAUUUUGUACGCGUACAGAACUGAAGGUACUCUGGGAAUAAGCAUCGGCUAACUCCGUGCCAGCAGCCGCCGUAACAC
rnacentral:rRNA from 1 species